UCUUCUUAUCUUUUGACUUCAACAUGUGUUUACCUCAGCUAUUUGUAAUCAUCCAUCAGCAAGAUGUAAUGUAUUAGUUUUUUAUAUUUUUAAUUAAUAAAUUCAACUUUAUUUAAUUUAUUUGUUGAAUUAUGUGAUAUAAUAGCUAUUUUAUAGCAUUUAAAGGUCAACAAUAGACUACUGUCAUCAUAAUUAGAACAGUUAUUGUUUCUAAUUUGACUGCUGAUUUCGAUGCUUGAUGAAUCAGAAUUCAUUACACCUAAAUGAUUUUGGCUGUCAGAACUUAAAUCAAAGAUGAGUCUGUUUGGUGAUAUAUUUGUUGUGAUAUUGUCUCAGGUUCUUUUCUUUGCUGGAGGAUGGAUAUUUUUCGUGAGGUAACC